rnacentral:rRNA from 1 species
AAAAGGAUGUGGGGUUGCACAGACAACUAGGAUGUUAGCUUAGAAGCAGCUAUUCAUUCAAAGAGUGCGUAAUAGCUCACUAGUCGAGUGACCCUGCGCCGAAAAUGUACCGGGGCUAAAACAUAUUACCGAAGCUGUGGAUGACACAAAAGUGUCAUGGUAGGAGAGCGUUUUAUGUGUGAAGAAGGUGUACCGUGAGGAGCGCUGGAACGCAUAGAAGUGAGAAUGCCGGUAUGAGUAGCGCAAGACAGGUGAGAAUCCUGUCCACCGUAAGACUAAGGUUUCCAGGGGAAGGCUCGUCCGCCCUGGGUUAGUCGGGACCUAAGGAGAGACCGAAAGGUGUAU